UUGCUCUCAUCCUACUUUCUUGUGCUUUGCCCCUCCCCUUUCCCAGGUGAUUGAGUUUGGGUGCUGGACGGGGCUAAAUGCUAUAUGAGCCCCAGGCAUGCCAUCAGAGAGCUCCUUCUGCCUGGGCUGCUCUUUGGGGACUAAAACCAGCUUGACUGCAUGCUACCUGUGGCUUGACAGCAUAGAUGCAGCAUUAUCAAGAGACUGAGCAGAGUUGUAUCAGAGUCACCUUUUUUAUCUGCAGAGUGCUUUGUGCAGUUGUGGAGAGGGAAGGGAAAUCCUCAUGUCACGAAGCUCUGAGGAAAGGUGGUGUGGAUGAUACUGGCUGCACUGUUGGAGCUUGGACUCGGAGAGGAACACGUGAGCACAAUCGUAUGUUGCAUCAGCAGUAGUCAGCAUUGUGGAGAAGCUCCCUUGCUGGCUGCAGCACUAUAUUUUGCCCGUAAUUCUGCGUGUGAAGAUCUGAAUGAAGACAAUGGAGUCGUAAGUGUUUAAAGCGUAUACUGUUCUGUUGGAUGGGUUUUGGUUGCCUGUGUGUGUAAGAGUGUGACUGAGACGGAAUUUAGUUCCGAAGCGAUUGUGGAGGUCUUCUUUACCACGGUUCCAAUCUCCCGCGGGGGACUUGGCCGGUGAAGGACCGAAGGGAUUCCUAUAGGCUUUGUGGGUGGGUGAUAGAUCUUAAAUCCUCUUUAAGACACUCUUAUUAAGGUAACCAAGGGCUGUGGGAAUUGCCAGAGUAACAUUCCUAGAUGGGUGAGACAAAACCGAAGACCAGGGACCAGAAGAAAGGAAGCAAAUUACCAGACAUACCAGCAGAAAGUCCAUUAGGAAUAACGAUUAGAAACUGGAACGAGAGAGGCCCCAGAAACGUAAAAAGUAAAUAAAAAAGGGUCCAGUCUUGUGUGAUAGAAUGGCCAAAGGAGCUUUUAAGACCGCAUGUCUUUGGGCCCGUUUUUGGAUUCUUUGAAGACUGUAUUUGUCGGGCCUUAAAUACACAUGUUAAUUCGAAGGAACCUUUCUGCCGGGAAGAAAGUGAUGAUGCAGGAUUACGGAUCAGGAGGACUUCAUGUCCUUUUACGGCCUUAAUAUUUACACUAAAAGCAGGUAAGAAAUUUUGAAGAAGAAGAAGAACAGGAAAAAUAAAAAGAUAAUAAACGGGAGCCGUUGGAUAACCUACCGUCUCCAUAUCGUAACAAUCCACCUCUGGUGGUGUACUGGGUCUGGCUGGAAUGUUAACUUUCCCAGCAGCAGCCCAUACAGUGCCGUACUCUGCAGUUGUA